rnacentral:rRNA from 1 species
UGGGCGCAAGCCUGAUCCAGCAAUGCCGCGUGCAGGAUGAAGGCCUUCGGGUUGUAAACUGCUUUUGUACGGAACGAAAAGCCCUGGGUUAAUACCCUGGGGUCAUGACGGUACCGUAAGAAUAAGCACCGGCUAACUACGUGCCAGCAGCCGCGGUAAUACGUAGGGUGCGAGCGUUAAUCGGAAUUACUGGGCGUAAAGCGUGCGCAGGCGGUUUUGUAAGACAGAGGUGAAAUCCCCGGGCUCAACCUGGGAACUGCCUUUGUGACUGCAAGGCUAGAGUACGGCAGAGGGGGAUGGAAUUCCGCGUGUAGCAGUGAAAUGCGUAGAUAUGCGGAGGAACACCGAUGGCGAAGGCAAUCCCCUGGGCCUGUACUGACGCUCAUGCACGAAAGCGUGGGGAGCAAACAGGAUUAGAUACCCUGGUAGUCCACGCCCUAAACGAUGUCAACUGGUUGUUGGGUCUUAACUGACUCAGUAACGAAGCUAACGCGUGAAGUUGACCGCCU